CCAUAGUGAAAGCGAGCCUGAAUAGGGCGUACGUCACUGUUUAUAGACCCGAACCCGGAUGAUCUAACCAUGGCCAGGAUGAAGCCUAGGUAAUACUAUGUGGAGGUCCGAACCGACUGAUGUUGAAAAAUCAGCGGAUGAGUUGUGGUUAGGGGUGAAAUACCAAUCGAAUUCGGAGCUAGCUGGUUCUCCCCGAAAUGUGUUUAGGCGCAGCGGUUAAUAUUAUAGCUUAGAGGUAAAGCACUGUUUCGGUGCGGGCUGGUAAUUCGGUACCAAAUCGAGGCAAACUCUGAAUACUAAGUGAACAGUUAACCAGUAAGACUGUGGGGGAUAAGC
rnacentral:rRNA from 1 species